AUAGAUCCAUGCCAUCGAUAUGGUGUCAACCUAAGUCGUUAUCAUGAGGUGUGGUGCAACAGUGAAAGUUCACAAUCAUUUUUCUACUGGCUAGACAUUGGUGAUGGAAAAGAAGUUAUUGUGGAGAAAUGUUCAAGGAGUGAUCUACACUCCCAAUGCAUCAAGUAUCUUGGACCAAAAGAGAGGGAAGCAUAUGAAGUAACUGUGAAGAAUGGAAAGCUUAUUUACAAGAAAAGUGGUGUUUGUGUGGACACAAUAGAGGGUACUAAAUGGAUAUUUGUUCUCAGUACAUCAAGGACCUUAUAUGUUGGUGAGAAGCAAAAACACCAUUUUCACCAUUCCAGUUUUCUAGCUGGAGGUGCUUGUCUUUCAUCUGGAAGAUUGGUUGUCUCUAAGGGGGACCUCGAGGCAAUAUGGGCAUACAGUGGCCAUUAUAGACCAUCAGAUGAGCAAUUUGAGGAGAUAAUACGCUUUCUUCAGGACCACCAUGUUGAUUUCACCAAUGUUAAGAAAUACGCAACCGAUGAUGACCUAGUACCCGUCAAGCCAAAAAUCUCAAAUGAAUCAAAAGAUGAUGACAUUGACAUCAAAUAAAAGAGCAGAUUGAAAACGACUUUCAUUCUCUCAUUUCUCGUUCUUGAUUCGAACUGUUAGUUGAAUUAUUUAUUGAUCGGUCAAAUGUUAUUUUUUGCAAGUUCACUAAUGUUCUGAUUCAAAUAAAAGAGUAUCCUGUAAGCAAAAUGCAAUGAAAUUAUG